rnacentral:lncRNA from 13 species
AUGAGUGAUCAGAAGACUGAAGUGUCAGGAUCAGAAGAAGGGAAACCAGGCAAGAAAGGCAAACGUUCCGGAUCACAGGAUUCCCAGACGUCUCCUCUAGCCCUGCUGGCUGCAACCUGCAGUAAGAUAGGAGUUCAGGGAGGAGUGGAGGGACAGGUGGUUAAAUGCAUGAUAAUAAUAUUUGUAUAUGUAUAUGUAAUAUGUACAGUGCCUUCAGAGAGUAUUCAUUCCCCUUGAUUUAUUCCACAUUUUGUUGUGUUACAGACUCACUUCAAAAUGCAUUUAAUUGACUUGUUUUCUCACCCAAUCUACACACAAUACCCCAUAAUGACAAAGUGAAAACAUGUUUUUAGAAAUGUUUGCAAAUGUAUAGAAUGUGAAAUACAUAAAAAUCUAAUUUACACACAUGUUAGAAUCACCUUUGGCAGCAAUUACAGCUGCAAGUCUUUCUGGGUAAGUCUCUAAGAGCUUUGCACACCUGAAGUGGGCAAUAUUUGCCCAUUAUUCUUCAAAACAUUAUUCAAGCUCUGUCAAAUUGGUUGUUGAUCAUUGCUAGACAACCAUUUUUUUUGUCUUGCCAUAUAUCUUCAGCAGAGUUAAGUCAAAACUGUAACUCGGCCACUCAGGAACAUUCACUGUCUUCUUGGUAAGCGACUCCAGUGUAGAUUUGGCCUUGUGUUUUAGGUUAUUGUCCUGCUGAAAAGUGAAUUCAUCUCCCAGUGUCUGUUGGGAAGUAGACUGAACCAGUUUUUCCUCUAGGAGUUUGCCUGUGCUUAGCUCUAUUACAUUAAUUUCUUUAUCCUGAAAUACUCCCCAGUCCUUGACGAUUACAAGCAUACCCAUAACAUGAUGCAGCCACCACUAUGCAUUUGGAGAGUGGUACUCAGUAAUGUGUGUGUUGGGUUUUUCCCAAAACAAAACACUUUUGUAUUCAGGAAAAAAAAUUGAAUUGCUUUGCCACAUUUUCUGCAGUAUUACUUUAGCGCCUUGUUGCAAACAGGAUGUAUGUUUUGAAAUAUUUGUGCUCUGUACAGGUUUCCUUCUUCACUCUGUCAAUUAGUUAGUGUUGUGGAGUAACUACAAUGUUGUUGAUCCGUCCUCAGUUCUCCUAUCGCAGCCAUUAAACUGUGUAACUGUUUUAAAGUCACCUUUGACCUCAUGGUGAAAUCCCUGAGCAGUUUCCUCCCUAUCCUGCAACUGAGUUAGGAAGGACACCUGUAUCUUUGUAGUGACUGGGUGUAUUGAUACACCAUCCAGAGCUUAAUUAAUAACUUCACUAUGCUCAAAGGGGUAUUCAAUGUCUGCUUUUUAAAUGUUUACCCAUCUAGCAAUAGGUACCCUUCUUUGUGAAACAUUAGAAAACUUCCCGGGUCUUUGUGGUUGAAUCCGUGUUUGAAAUUCACUGCUUGACUGAGGGACCUUUAUAGAUGUAUGUGUGGGGUACAGAGAUGAGGUAGUCAUUCAAAAAUCAUUAUUGCACUCACAGUGAUACCAUGCAACUAAUGUGACCUAUUAAGCAAAUUUGUACUCCUGAACUUAUUUAGCCUUAACAAAGAGGUUGAAUACUUAUUGACUCAAGACAUUUAAGAUUUUUUUUAAAUGAAUUUGUAAACAUUUUGAAAAACAAUUCCACUUUGACAUUACGGGGUAUUGUGACAAAAAAAUAUCUUAAUUGAAUACAUUUUUAAUUCUGGCUGUAACACAACAAAAUGUUGAAAAGGUCAAAGGGCGUGAAUACUUUCUGAAAGCUCUGUAACUGUACUUGUUGAUGGAAAUGUAAGGUCUAUAAUAAUAAUAACCUAUAAAGGCUAUUACAUGCGAACAGGUUCCAAGGCAUUAUACAGUUCCUUUGCAUAAGUAUUCGGCUCCCUUGAACUUUGCGACCUUUUGCCACAUUUCAGGCUUCAAACAUAAAGAUAUAAAACUGUAUUUUUUUUGUGAAGAAUCAACAACAAGUGGGACACAAUCAUGAAGUGGAACGACAUUUAUUGGAUAUUUCAAACUUUUUUAACAAAUCAGAAACUGAAAAAUUGGGCGUGCAAAAUUAUUCAGCCCCCUUAAGUUAAUACUUUGUAGCGCCACCUUUUGCUGCGAUUACAGCUGUAAGUCGCUUGGGGUAUGUCUCUAUCAGUUUUGCACAUCGAGAGACUGACAUUUUUUCCCAUUCCUCCUUGCAAAACAGCUCGAGCUCAGUGAGGUUGGAUGGAGAGCAUUUGUGAACAGCAGUUUUCAGUUCUUUCCACAGAUUCUCGAUUGGAUUCAGGUCUGGACUUUGACUUGGCCAUUCUAACACCUGGAUAUGUUUAUUUUUGAACCAUUCCAUUNNNNNNNNNNAGAGACUUCCUAGUUUAAACUGUAGAAAAGAGACUUCCUAGUUUAAACUGUAGAAAAGAGACUUCCUAGUUUAAACUGUAGAAAAGAGACUUCCUAGUUUAUACUGUAGAAAAGAGACUUCCUAGUUUAAACUGUAGAAAAGAGACUUCCUAGUUUAUACUGUAGAAAGAGACUUCCUAGUUUAUACUGUAGAAAAGAGACUUCCUAGUUUAUACUGUAGAAAAGAGACUUCCUAGUUUAAACUGUAGAAAGAGACUUCCUAGUUUAAACUGUAGAAAGAGACUUCCUAGUUUAAACUGUAGAAAAGAGACUUCCUAGUUUAAACUGUAGAAAAUAUAGAUUUAUCAGUCUAUACUGUAGA